UCAAUUUCCUGAAACCCUAACUAUCAUACGCUUCUUCUUCUUCUUGCAUCUCAUUUGAAACCUAAAUCUUCAUCAUCCCUUAAUCCCACAACCCCAACCCUUGUGCUUCUCAAUUAUACUUCAUCUACAUCCAGAUCCCUACUUUCAUUCUCGCUUUUCAGAUCUCAUCACUCCAUCAAUGCCCCAAACUGUUUGACUCUCUCGAUUUCUGUAUCAUCUAACACUCCAGAUCUUCACAGGUGAUGUUGCAUACAGAUCUGAGGUUAUCUUUUCUUGUGGCGUGUGAUUUAUUGGAUUUGUAGUUGAUUGAUUGCUCUUCUAAACAAGGAGAGAUGGAAUCUGAAGGAGAGACUGGGGAUGCGUUACAUGAUAGUACUGUGUUAAUCAUCAAGCUUGGCUCCAAUCUUUUGAUCUAUCCGAAGUAUUAAUUGUCCAUUAUUCCUGAAGAUAUGGCGGACCUGUCAUUAAACCAAUGAUGGGAUCAAUGCAAGCAUCGUCAAUACUUAUAAAGAAGGCUUCGGCAUAUAAUUUUGUUGGUUCAGCAGUCCUUAACCUUGGCCAAGUUAAUGGCUGGUAACUACUUGGUGAGGUUAUUGCUGGAGAAGAUGAUAGACUCUGCAAAUUCGGCUUAUCUUGGCAUACUAGAAAGGUGGGUGUAUGAAGGACUUAUUGAUGGCCCACAUGACGAGUUCUUCAUUGCUGAGAAGAAAUCUCUUCAAAAGGAGUCUCUUACCCAAGAUUAUGAUGCUAUGUAUUGGAGGCAAAGAUACAGUCUAAAAGAUGAUAUCCGUUUCUUGCAAAUUCGGCCGAAACCAUUUUAACAACAGGGAAAUAUUUAAAUGUCAUGAGAGAAUGUGGCCACACUGGUUGGGUUGGGGGUUGAAAACUUGAAAUGGGCAAUCUUUUGUGUGGGUCAAAACGGGUAGGGUACGUGAACACUUUUUUAAUCGUUUUUUUUUUUACUUUUUUAAAUUAGGGUCAAAACAGAUUUUGUAGGUUGGUUCGACCUAUGAACACUAAUCUAACACUCUUCAUAAGGCGAUUCAAGAGUUGGAUACUUUGUAAUCGAAGUUAAUGCUUCAAUAUUCCCCCAAAAAGACUGGAAUGAAGAAAAAGUUGUUUUACGCGGGUCAACCAAUUAGCUGUCAUCCUAAUCCAACUUGACUUGAGCCAUUCUGACUUACUAUCCGUCCUGUCUGAGACACCUAUCUAGCUACCUCUAACAAAUUCACAUGGAUUAUAAUUGUUAUAUUAUUGGAUAAUAAUGUACUUCAAAUACAAAAUAUACAGGUGUAAGGUUAUACAACUGCCUUAUAGUUUAAUACCCCUGAUGGGGAUAUGGUGAUUACUCUUGAUGACUGAUACACUCAAAAUCAUUUGGAGCUCAAUAUGCUAGAUGGAGUGCUGGUCAAUGUCAAGGGAUUGAAUGUUGAUCUAGGCUCAAUUUCAUUGGUUUUUCUCUAUAAAUAUAGUUCCAUUGUUCAAGACGGUAUUAACCAUACUACAUUCAAUGAUGAUUUAGGUAAGUGCCAUUGGUUUUUGUUUAUAAUAUUAAACAAUCCAUGUCAGGUUGAGAUGCAAGAAAUGGGACGGGCCAUGUUAGGAUGAGCCGCAAGAUUUUUUUAGUUAUUGUCCAACAUGUAUUGGAGCAUGAAAAACCACACGAGCACUCAGUAAUAAUUCUGUUGUUCAGAUGAGUCAACAGAAGUUUGCAUCAAAUGUGGUUGAGAAAUGUUUUGACUUUUGGUGAUGCUAGCAAACGCCAACUUCUUGUGAAUAAGUUCAACAAUUAGUUUCUCAACUUGCUGGGACUUUUGCUGUUAGAAAUGAAUCUAACUCUCAAGAAAAUGAAAAGAGGAGUUUAAUGAGUAGGUGUACAUAAAUUAUCUCCCAUUUAAAGGAUGUAGGUUUGAGAUACACUACACUAUAUUUUUUUAUGUUUGGCAUUUAUGUAUAUUAAACUGGUAAACUUUUUUUAAACUAUGUCUUACUUAUCAUGUUGUGACAGGACCAAUAUCAUUUGUUCAUGUCAAUGAACAGGCAAUAUGCAUCGUUAAGUAAAUUGAGGGCAAUUAUCAUGUGUUUUUAAUUAUCACGGCACGAGUCCGAGACACUUCUAUGCUUAUAGAAUGCUCC
rnacentral:lncRNA from 1 species